GCAAGUCGAACGCGAACGGUUUCUUCGGGAACCUAGUAGAGUGGCGCACGGGUGAGUAACGCGUAAGUUAUCUACCCUCGCAUCUGGGAUAACCCACCGAAAGGUGUGCUAAUACCGGAUACGUCUAAGAUAAUAUCUUUUUUUUAGAGAAAGGUGGCCUCUGAUUCAAGCUACUGUGCGGGGAGGAGCUUGCGUACCAUUAGCUAGUUGGUAGGGUAAUGGCCUACCAAGGCAACGAUGGUUAGCGGGUCUGAGAGGAUGAUC
rnacentral:rRNA from 1 species